rnacentral:ncRNA from 2 species
UCCCCGCACUCUGGAGAGCGGCAGCGGCUUUCACCGGCAAGCUGCCCACCGAAGGGGCGCGUGAUGAACCGUCGGCAACAAGACAGUUCGCGCAAUCUCUCAGGUACCGAAGACAGAGGGGUCACG